CCAACCGUGAACACAAGGGAGAGGGGGCUGUGAGGGAGCUGGGGACUUUGCAUCCUUCCUGAGACUGUUUUUUUCUGUUUCCAUAUUUCACUGCUGUGUACCCCAAAGCUAAGGACAGGCAACAUCUCGUUAUCAUUAAUCUGGCCACAGGGGAUUGGAAAUUCUUGACUGAAGGAUGCUGUACCCCAGAAAGGUUUAUUUGUUCCUCCCUGAGGUUUGUGUGUACAGAUUUUUCUGAUGUGAUCUGGCAAGAGGUACCCACGGAGGAGGAGGGACUGUAACACCGCUUUCACGACUGUCCUUUGCUCUAGAACAAGUCAAUUCCUCUGUGCCUCGGUUUCUCUCUCAAGUGGCGAAACUGCUCAAACCCUUUCUACUUUAUGGGUUCAUCAUGAGAGCCAUACACAGUAAUGUUUGGAAACAUCCUGGGAGAUGCAACAUCUCGUAUAAACGGAAGGCAUCAUGCUUCAUCGCCUCGCCUCCUCAGCUCUAGGGGUUUCUGACAACCGUUGCCCUCUUUAGGGUGCUGGUCCUCAACUGGAACCUUGGGAAGCUUCGACAACGACGCUGUUGCCUGCACUCUACACCAGGUUUUCUGAUUUAAUUGAAGGGGUGCGGUUGGCUUCCAAGCUCCCAAGGCUGGCAGUAAAUCUCAGACAUGGAGCUUGGCUCCUCACAGGUUACCAGUGGACUAGAAGCCUGGUAGCAUCCGUCAGAACUACACAGAGAGGGUCCCGGGGGUCAACGGACCCAGAAGUUGGGAGAUUUACUGACCGUCUGCAUCGAAGUGCUUCCAGAUUUCCAGGAACUGGGAUGCUG